rnacentral:rRNA from 1 species
UCGACUGUUUACCAAAAACAUAGCUCUCUGCCAAAGCUAAAUGCUGAAGUAUGGAGGGUGAAGCCUGCCCGAUGGUUGUAUCUGAAAAGGUUGGCUAACGUCAACUUCAUAAGGGCAAUUGAAUGGCCGCGGUAACACUGACCGUGAUAAUGUAGCGUAAUCAAUAGCCAAUUAAUUGUUGGCCGGUAUGAAUGGCAUCACGAAGGCCCCACUGUCUUAAGAGGACUCUCCAUGAAAUUGAAAUCGUAGUGAAGAUGCUACGUCCAUAUUGUAAGACGAAAAGACCCCAUUGAGCUUUACUAAAGACUUGUAUGGCUCGAAAUAACUUAAAUAAAAAGUUUAGAUAAUGUGGGAUCCGUUUUGGUUAAUGAAACACCACUCUUUUAUUUUAAGAGAGCUAACCUUGUAGGGAGAAUGCAAGUUGGAUAGUUUGGUUGGGGCGACCACCUUUUAAAAGGUAACGAAGGUGAGCUUAAGGUCCGUAGUUAAUAGCUAGUGGCCUGACUGCAACUUAAGGUCCGUAGUUAAUAGCUAGUGGCCUGACUGCAAGGGGGACAUCCCGAGCAGACACUGGUAAUCUCUCAGUGGGUUAUAGUGACCCGUCAUCUUAGAGUGGAAUAGUUGGCGAUCAACGAAUAAAAGCUACCAUGGGGAUAACAGCGUUAUAUCGUUAGAGAGCUUUAUCGACGACGAUGUUUGCGACCUCGAUGUUGAAUUGCGGCACCCUGGGGUGCAGCCGCCCCCAAGGGUUGGUCUGUUCGACCUUUAAA